GAGUGCUCAUAAGUUAUGAGUAUUGGAAUAAACCCACGCUCACUUGUAUCACUUCAUGGAAUUUAUCUCGAGUGAUCGUGAGACGGUAAUAUCAUAUAAAUCUUCAAACCUAGAGAUAUGAGUUGUUACCUAUGAGUUGGUUGUGCAUUGAUUGCACGUAAACGCAUCAGUAACUUGAUGUUAUAAAACGUGCCUUUGUGUACAAUUCAACAAGUAGUAGAACAAGCAUAUGAGUCGAAGUUUAUCUGUUCCUUCUAGAAAUAGAAGCGAUAUCUGGGCCCCUCGAUGAUUUUGUUGUGACCUAUGUACCGGCCGGUCAGAACUAAAUUGAUGUGUUCGAUUAAGUUCUUUGUCAAACAAAUCGAAAAUCGGGAAACAAACUGCUGGACAAUAAGUACGACGUUGUUCCAUGUAUUUGUCCGGCUGAUAUCAUGAGAACAGAGGAUUAUAUGAUCACUUAUCUAAAAUGGCGCUUCAUAGUUCAACAGAGUUUUCGAGAGCUACGAUUGCUGGUUGGUUCCUGAAGUAACAUACGCAAAUAUAGUUAUUAGACUUAUCCAAGUGGGAGUCUGUUGGAUAAGGUGUCUAAGUCCAUAACUUAUUUGGUACAUACUUGACCCGACCCGGCAUGGUCCAUUUGGGUUGCACUUCACCCAAACGAUUUAUGGAUAAUUUUAUGAGAAUUGUAUACUUACGAUUUAUUAUUAUAUUAUAAGUCAUAAUAUAUUAAUAUGAAGUCAUGUUAUUUAAUUAGUUUUAGUCUUAAAUUAAUUAUGAAUUAAUUUAGAGAUUAAAAAGAAGACUGAUUAAAUUAUGGGCUAUUAUAUUAUAUAUAGUGUGGGCUAAUACUCAUUUGUUAAUGGGCUAAGCUAAUAUGGAAGUCCAUGGAUGAUCCAUGGAGCUUUUAACCCAUGGAUCCUUGGAAAGGAAAAGACAUGGGUUAUUAGGGUUUCACCCUAACCAUGCACACUAUAUAAAGAAGCAUAUGAUGCAAGAAAUAGGGCCUAAGGGUAGACUCUAGUUGUGUGAGACUUAUUAGUGGCCGAUUUCAUAAGAAAGUAUACUACUCUCUCAAAGUUUUCCAAGUGUUUGUGGUGAUUUGUGAUUCCAUUUGAGGCAUUCACACUAUUGGUGCUAGGCUCUCAAACUCCAAGCAAUCAACCACCAUCAAAAGGUAUCUAUUUCUAUUAGUAGUUUUAUGAUUCAUAAUCCUUAUGCUAUGCUAGUUAGGAAGAAACCUUGGAAAUUAUUAUUUGCAUGUAUUUUAGAAGAAAACAUAUCCAAGGUUUAUUAGGGUUUCAUGCACACUUAGGAAGUGUUAGAUUGCUCAAAACCCAACACUUCAAUGGUUGUGCGAAAGGCUGAGCUGUCGUCUGAAAUUGUUUGACGAAGCGAAGCGAAGGACUUCAACUCAGUGGAGACUGACGUUGCCAGCUGAUGAACAAUAGGUUCCAAUGUAGUAUUAGCAGCAUUUGCACUCUCCUGUAAAGACUUUAACUGGGAAGAAGUAUCAGAAAAUAGUUUAUCGACUUUUUCGGUCGCUGCCUGACAGGCUUUUGUAGAGGCAUCUAUGGCGGUGGUGGCAGAAGUAAUGGAAUCUUGCUGAGCUUUAGAGAAGGCGUCAACAAUCUUCUGAACUGUAUCUUCAAAAAAAGAUGACUUGGAAGAGGAGGCGAUGAGCAAGUCAAUCUUGUCAUGGAGCUCCUUGAGAUGUCUUUUUGUAACUGGAGCGUCGUCAUCGUCAUCACUUUGUACUUGAAACGGACUAUAGUAGACCGAGUCAAACGUCAUAUCCUCCCCGCCAAGGAAUGGUUCUUCUCCUUCUGAAGCAUGACCAGGAGAAGGUGGUGGUGCAGUAGUACCGGUAGGUUCGGGUUGGGUUGUUUCGGGGGUUGGGGUGGGUUCGGGGGCUUUUGUGGUUUCGGNNNNNNNNNNNNNNNNNNNNNNNNNNNNNNNNNNNNNNNNNNNNNNNNNNNNNNNNNNNNNNNNNCUAACAUCUGCAGUGGUUGUUGUGGUUGCUUCAGUAAAUAUGGGUGGUAUUGGGAUGGAAGUGGUUGGAAUUUGUGUAGUGGGGGUUAUGGGGGGAAUGGAAGUAGGAAUAGUUUUAGGUGGAGAGGAAAUUGGAGAAGUAGAUGCAUGAACUUCUGGGGUAGGAGAACGGGGUGGAGUGUUACCACGCUGAGAGCCUUCAGAAUCAGAGCUCUCACCAUCCGACUCGCUUGAGGAGGAAGCGAUAAUCAACUUUCGCUUCGGCUGAGCUUUUCUCCUCUUCUGCUGUGGACACUGAGCAGCCCUUGUCGAUUUCCUCUUCUUUGGAGAAGGGCAUUUUGCCCCUUUUGCCACGUGUUUCCCCUUAUCAGCCUUCUUGCCUCGUGUAGCAGGCUUGUCGGCAUCAUGUAUUGAUUUCAACAUCUCCGGAGAAAGAUCCCUCGGACCAAAAGGCUUGAAUUCCUUGUACGUCCUGAUAAUCCGGCUAUCAGCAGGAACAUCCCCAUACAUGGUNAGGAACAUCCCCAUACAUGGUUUCCGGAAUAGACCCGUUGAACGGAAACUUUGAAGCGUCCGACACAAUGAUCUUCGUGGUAUGGAACGUACCAAUCGAAGACAUUGGAGCACCUGCGACAAUGGGGACGUGGUACUUGUCCAUCACCCAUUUCGUGAUAAGAGUCCAGAACCUUGCAUACGAGAUCUCUGAAUGUCUGGAGGUAGAGGAGAGACUCUGGAUGAGUUGUUGCCAUAGAACAGAACCAUAAUCCAUGUUGAUGCCAUUGUAAAUACCAUACAUUAUGGAGAGAAACAACCCGCUGGCACCAUCAGAUCCAGCACUUCUUUCGGAUAACCCCUUGAAGAGAACAGUGAACAUCCCAUUCCACUGUGGAGCUAGGCACGACUUCUUGAACUUCGUGACCGUAGAAAGCACCUCCGUAUAUCCCAUGUUAUAGAACAUGUUGAACAAGUGACCCAUUGGAAUCGUUUCAGGGUUAACCCUCGAAGAAUCAGGUUGAAACCCUAACAGCGAGCAAAACCUUUGCUUUGAAAUUGACGCCUUGUGCUCAAAGACAUCAAAAAAAAUUCUGUCAACAACCUUGUCGUAGUGAGCGGUCGCAAAGAUCUGUGACAAGAACUCCAUCGGAACGAUUUCAGCCCUGGUAAGUGCAGGAGCGAUCGGAGAGAACUUCAGACACUCGAUAAUGGGAAACAUGAAGGCGUCGUAAGCAUGAGGGGUUAAAUCAAUGAUUAGGCUUUGUUGUAGGCGAAUGGGCAAAAUGUGGGAUGUUGCGUGAACGGAAGAUGAAUCUGCCAUUGCUUGAAGAAAGUGAAGAAGAUGAUGAACAAUGAAGGAUUAAGGAAUUUUUUGCUCUCUGGGAAUUUUAAUUGCAGUAAAGAGGUAAACGAUGGAUUAUGUUGCCUUUUAUACUGGGGUUUAAGGAGAGAGAAAAAUCUUUUCAAAUCUUCGAUCGAAAAACGAAGGGUUUUUCGGAGUUGACUGACGCGUGACAGUUGGGGUGCCGAUGAUCACGUAUGAGAGAGAAUGUCAGGCCUCGAAUAACACGCCUUCCAUCAGGCGCCGGUUGGAGACGAGACGGUUCAGAUUCACACGCACCCCUCUUGCGCCGUUUGGAGAUGAAACGGUUCCGAUUCGCACGCUUUCCCUUUUAGCGUCGUUUGAAAUCAAAUCGAUUAGACUCCCGCCUGAGUCAGCAUGUCAUCAUCUUAUCCUUUUAAAUUGAAACGACAUCUUUUGAAAAAUGCUCCCACGUGGAUUAAAAUUAACCACAACCUUUAAUCAACCGCCAAUCCAAGUAAAAUGCCUUGGAAUUAAUAGAACCUGAAUUUAGGAAAAUCAAAGAUUUUCGUGCUUAGGGUGUAAAAGACAAGAAAUAAAGCAAUACUUUUAGGAAAAGAUGUGAUGUCAAUAAAGACACGAAACAAAUGAUCCCGGGCACGAAUCUCUUCCUUCAAAGUCAAGAGAGACCUUAAAGUGUUUGUGUGGUUUCCCGUUGAAUAACGAUCAUACACUUGUUAAGAAGUGUUGAAAAGCUUCUUUUAAGUAGGUUUAUGUGGGUGGCUUUCGCUUCAAUUCAGAGUUCCUGAUCUUGAUAUAAGACAGAAAUUGAACAAAGUACUUGUGAGACCGGUGUAGUCUAUUGAACAAGUAGGUUGGAGAUAAUUUAAUUUGGCUAGGAAAUAUAUAAAAUCUCAACAAAAAUUAAAAUUGGAUCCCAAGGGAAGAAAUGUUAUUGUGUUUAACAAUUUCAUAGGAAUCACACAAAAGAAAAUUUUGAGAUUUCAUGGAAGUACGUCCGUCAAUUCAUUAGUGAAAAAUAGAGCAAAUUAAUUGUUCACCGUCAAUUCGUAUUGGGUAUUGAAUUUUGGGUUUCACUUAGCUCGUAGUGGCACGAAACUAAGAUCAUGAACACAAUAAUUGUGUAACCAUAAACCUCAGUGGUAAUGUCUGAGAGUCUCAAGGGUUACGUUUGUGAAACGAAUGUGAUGGAGAAAUGCAGUGUAGAUGGUGUAAGAAAACAAAGUACCUCUGCUGAGAAGAAUAGGACCAAGCAGAAAACUCUUAUCUCAUGUGAGAAGAGAGUUAGGUAGCUCAUGAUUAGAAUAAAUAUGAUAGCCUAAUUGGGAAGACAAGGUUUGUGUAUACCAAGUCAUUAAGGCUAUUAUUCAGAAUCAGACGAGGCUUUGGACACAUACAGCAGCAUGCUUCGAGGGACACUUAGCUUAUUCAACAAUUUCCCCAUAAACGAACAAACAAAGAAAAUUAAAGCCAAAAAGAAAAUAAAGAACAAAAUAUUUUUGGAGUUUUGAAUUUAUAAAAAAAUAUUUUUGGAAUUUUUGAUAAUAAAAAAAAAUAUAAAAAAAAAACAUAAAAAAAAACAGAAGAAAAAAAAUUGGAAGUUUUGAUAAUAAGAAAAAUUAAAACAAACAAAAAAAAUUUUGAAACCGAACCCAAGCGUUCGGUAUAUGUCGGUAGGAAAAAAAAUGUGGGAACUGAACCCGAGCGUUCGGUCUAUUUCGGUUGAGAAAAACUUUGGAACCGAACCCGAGCGUUCGGUCUAUUUCAGGUGAGAAAAAUUUUGGAACCGAACCCGAACGUUCGGUAUAUUUCGGUUGCCAAAGAAAAUAGGUUUUAAUAAGAGAAUAACUUUGACAAAAAGAUAAAUGCAUUUGUAACAAUUAUACAUAAGAUCUACAACCAAGAAAACUACCUUUGAUUGAUGAGCGAAAAAGCAGAUUAUUCAACCGAACCCGAGUGUUCGGUUCAUUUCGGUACAUUAGUACAAGACCCGAACCCGAACGUUCGGUCUAUUUCGCUUCUUACUUUUGAGUUUGAGAGGUAAUUUUUGGUACAGACUCCUAUUCCAUCAUACCUAGCCCUUGUAGAAUUUUGUUGAACGACGCUUCAGGAAGAGCUUUGGUGAAGAUGUCAGCCAGUUGAUCAGUGGUUCGAACAAAAUGAAUUUCGACGUUCCCAUCUUCCACAUGAUCCUUAAUGAAGUGAUACCUCAGUGCUAUGUGCUUAGUCUUGGAGUGUUGCACUGGGUUAUGACAGAUCCUAAUUGCACUUUCAGAGUCACAAUAUAGUGGGAUCUUUUUCAUAUUGAGUCCAUAGUCCCGGAGUUGACUUUGGAUCCAAAUCACUUGAGAAGUACAAGAGGCAGCGGCAAUGUAUUCUGCUUCAGCUGUAGACAAAGACACACAAGUCUGUUUCUUUGAUUGCCAGCUAACUAACUUCCCGUCAAGGAAUUGGCAGCCUCUCGUGGUGCUUUUCCUGUCUAGUCCACAACCUCCAAGGUCUGCAUCUGAGUAGGCUUGAACGAAGAAGCCUGAGUUGGAUGGAUACCAUAGGCCUAAAGAGGUAGUUCGCUUGAGAUAUCGGAGUAUAUUCUUCACUGCAAGCAUAUGAGGUUCACGUGGAUUCGCCUGAAAUCUAGCACAGUAACAAACAGAGAACAUUAUAUCAGGCCUGCUAGCAGUAAGAUACAUCAGAGAACCGAUCAUCUGGCGAUAUAGCGUAAUAUCAACUGCUGGCUUAUCCAAUGAUGGAGUGAGCUUGGUGCCGAACGCCAUUGGAACUUUAACCUUUGAAUCUCCCAUCAUGCCAAAUUUUGCAAGGAGAGUCUUCGUGUAAGCUUCCUGAUUAAUAAAGAUGCCUUCGGGUCCCUGUCUAAUAUUUAAACCAAGGAAAAAGUUAAUUGGACCCAUUGAGCUCAUUUCAAAUUUAGUCUCCAUCAGCUUUCUGAAUUCAGCCGUUAAGCUAGGAUUCGUUGAGCCAAAGAUGAUAUCAUCGACAUAAAUUUGAACAAUCAUAAGGUGGUUACCUUCCUUCUUACGAAAGAAGGUUGGGUCAACCGAACCUUGUUUGAAUUUGGACAUCUUUAAAAACUUGGUUAGCAUUUCAUACCUGGCCCUCAGAGCUUAUUUCAGUCCAUAUACGACUUUGUCCAAAAUGUAACAAUGAUUGGGGUACCUUUCAUUGACGAAUCCAGGAGGUUGCUCCACGUACACCGUUUCUUCAAGUUCUCCAUUUAGAAAUGCGCACUUGACAUCCAUUUGGUAGACUUCAAAGUUUUUGUGUGCAGCAUAGGCAAGAAAUAUUCUCACGGAUUCCAGCCUAGCUACAGGAGCAAAAGUUUCUUCAUAGUCGAUUCCUUCCUCCUGACAGUAUCCUUUCACCACCAGACGAGCUUUGUUUCGUAUCACGUUGCCUUCCUUGUCCAUCUUAUUUCUGAAGACCCAUUUGAGACCAACAACUGAGGCAUCUUGAGGAGUUGGAAUUAGGCGCCAAACUUUAUUCCUUUCGAAUUCAUUCAGUUCGUCUUGCAUAGCUUGAACCCAAUCGGAGUGAUCAAGAGCAGUGUUAACUGUCUUUGGUUCAACUUUUGAGACGAAGGAGUUAAACAUACAGAAUUCUACUUUUGAAAAUAAGGAAGUUUGUUUUGCCUUUAGUUGUGAUCGGGUCAGGACCUUUUCAAAGACAUUACCGACAACCUGGGAAACAAGAUGAUCUCUAGUCCAUUUGACAAGAGGAGGGUAAUUUGGAUCAUAAGAUGGAUCCAAUUCAGCGUUUACCACCUCUUCUAGGUCAGAUUGACUUUCAUCAUCAUAGAUCAUAUCGACAUUCUCCCCCUUGACAGAUAAGCUUUCAAGUGUGUUUUGAGUUUCCGGAGCUACAGGGAUUUCGGGUGGUGUCGAGCUUUCGGGUGUUAACGCACCUUCGAGUGUUGUAUCAUUUUCGGGUGUUGUAGUGCGUUCGGGAGCAGCGUGAGAACUGUUCUCCCCCUCAACAUGUGAGCUCGGCUGUGAUGAAGAAGAUGGAUCCUCCCCCUCAACUGAACCAUCGUGCUGUGGAGGUUCAUUGGAACUUGAUCCUCCUUCAUUCAUUUGCUUGGCAGCAUCUUCGAUGAGUUGCUUCAGAUGAUCUACCUUGUUGUCUGCUACACUGGCUUCCGAGAGAGUAGCCUUCUCUGGUUCAUCAAAUAACUCGACAAACUUUUCAAAUAGGUUUGCGAUCGAGGCUGUGACUUGGCCUGUUUGAGGAAAGAUUUCUCCAACUAUAUCUUCCUUGGCCUUUAACUUUUUGAUAUAGCUAUCAUCAAAAGUCACAUAAUAAGUUUCUUCUAUUUUCCUCGAGCGUUUGUUUAAUAACCUGUAGGCUGGCGAAGUGAGAGAAUAGCCCAGAAAUAUCCCUUCAUCGGCUUUGACAUCGAACUUGUUACGAUGUUCUUUAGAAUUGAAGAUGAAGCACCGUGAGCCGAAUACAUGGAAAAUUUUGACAUUUGGCUUCCUGUUGUUGAUGAUCUCAUAAGGAGUGAGAGUGAAACGCUUAUUGAGAUAUGACCUGUUCUGCGUAAAACAUGCAGCAGCAAUAGCAUCAGCCCAAAAAUAUAAAGGUAAAGAAGCAAAACUUAGCAUGUUCGGGCCGCCUCACACAAAGAUCGGUUUCGUCUUUCGACAAUCCCGUUUUCUUGAGGGGUGUAGGGAGCUGAAAAGUUGUGACUGGUUCCUUUUUCGGCCAAGAAUUCUUCGAAUUCUUUAUUUUUGAACUCCAGCCCAUUGUCGCUCCUGAUGUUGCGAACGACUUUCUUUAGCUGUACUUCAACCUGCUUGAUAAACAUCUUUAGCUUCAGAGUCGCUUCAGAUUCGUGCUUCAGAAAGAACACCCAUGUGAAGCGCGAAGAGUCAUCAACAAUGACAAGAAUAUACUUGCUACCGCCGAUACUUUCGAUAGAGGAUGGACCACACAAAUCAAUGUGAAUUAAUUCUAGAGGUUCAACAACUUUAGUGUUUACAAUUGAUGGGUGACUUUGACGACUCUGCUUCCCCAUUUCACACGCAGCACAUAAAUGUUCUCAAUCGUAUUUGAGCAAUGGAAGGCCUCGAACAUGACCUCCGGUGACAAGUUUGUUGAUAUCCUUAAAGUUGAGAUGAGAGGGCCUUCGGUGCCACAGCCAGCUUUCGUCAGAUUGUGCUUUGGAUAACAGGCAGAUAGUUGGAUUCCCUUUGAUGGGUUUGAGGUUCAGGGGAAACAUUUCGCCUUUGCGCUCCGAUUUGAGAAUUACUCUUUUCGUUUUCUUUUCAAUUAUUUCCGAACCCUCAUCAUCGAAUGAGACCUUGAGACCGGUACCUCCAACAAGCUGAGAUACACUGAUGAGGUUGUGUUGUAGUCCCUCAACGUAUGCGACCUUCCUAAUCGUAAAAUCACCAUUUGUUAUCAUUCCAUAGCCUUUUAUUGUGCCGAAUGAGUUGUUCCCGAACUUGACAUUUCCACCGUUUGAAAGAGACCGAAAUUCCCUCAGCUCUUCCUUCCUUCCUGUCAUGUGACGCGAGCAGCCACCGUCAAUAUACUAUUCUUCGUCAAACUGCUCGUCACUGAUAACCUGCAAAAAUUAAGCAGAUUUAGGAACCCAAAGUUUCUUGGGUCCACGUGAGCCUUUCACAGGAACAGGAAUAGUAAGAGAGAUGUCAACAAGAUAUGUUCUUUUUAUUAACGUUGUUUCAUCUUUCUUUUUAAUGGUGAAAACCUUAAUUUUAUUGGGAUUUGUUGCUUUCGGUUUGGAUUCUGGUUUAGGUAUUUGGACUUUGGGAUGAUUUUGAUUUGUUUCGACUGAUGAAACCUUCGAUUUUCCUUUCAGAUCUGUUGAAGAUUUAGGUUUUUGAGUGCGAACAGAAUUGAAUUUAGAAUGUGGUUGAGAGGAAUUAGAAGAAUUAGAAGAAGUAGAACGAGAGAAUUUAGACUGAGAUGUUUUCUUGACUUGAGGUUCUAAGUGACCCUUUUGUUUUUGAUCAUUAGUGGGACCGAACCUAGAACUUUGGUUGCUUUUGUUCUCAGCACCGAACUUAUGCUUUCGGUAGCUUGUGUUUUCUGAACCGAACCAUUGCCUUCGGUUGUCAUAAUUUUCAGAACCGAACGUAUCCUUUCGGUUGUUAUGACCCUCAGAACCGAACCUCUCCCUUCGAUUGUUAUUACUUUCUUGCGAUCCAACAGUACUUUUCUCUGACUUUAAAUUUCUGUCAUGAUAAGAGAAAUUGGCGUUUUGAGAUUGCCAAAACUGUUUUCUUUCAGAGAGAUUCUUCUUGUAUCUCUGAUUCCUUUGCUGUUUUUGAUUUUUCACCUGCUUCGGCUGACGAUGGAUAUUCGCUUUUUGUUUUUGCUUUCUGUCAGCUGGUUCACUUUGAACUGAUGAUGUUUCGCUUGAAGGAGUGACUUCUUUUGCAGAAACUCCUUUUUCUUCAGGAACAUCUUUUGUACCACUAGUACUUGGCACGUCGAAGCUAUCAGGCUUAUUCAAAGGCUCUGGCACAUAUCUGCCUUUGGUUUUCCAGGACGUCCUUUCUGACAGACCAACGGUUUCGUCAGCAUUGUCGAUAGGGGCGGACCAGAAGAACUCAUCACAACCAUCAGCAUUAUCUUCGUUUACAAUGGCUGUGAGUUCGGCUGUCUGAUGUUCGGUUACACCUGUGACCUUAUACACCUGAUUUGGAGUCGUCCUUACCUUUUGGUAUACAACAGCCUUUUCUUCAAGGAUCGGGGACUUUUGUUGGGACAGACGAGCAAACUCCACAGAAUUUUCUGAAAUAAGAUUUUUGUGGUUUUCGGGUUCGCUCUUGACAAACUCAGAACAGUCAACUACAUCCUCUACAGAAAUUUCACUCAUAUCAUCAUCCUCAUUAAGCUCAGAUGCAUUUUCAACAUCAAUUUUAUUUUCUGAGCUCAAGUUGGCAUUCAAUGAGUCAAACUUUUGUAUGGUUUCGGUCCUUAGUUUCAGUUUAUCAUUUUCAUCCAAAAGAUUUUUCAGCAUGUCCUUAUGGUCCUUGGACUUUAUGAAAGAUUCGAUUUUGUCUAGACCAUACAUAUAUGUCGGAUUUACAUCCUCAGACGAAACUACACUUUCACAAUUAUAUGCUUCAGCGUCGAUUUCAUCCUCCUUAAACUCAAGGAAGGGCAAAAUCAUGCGAUGAAUUUUCUGCCCUAUUUCACAGUUUAAAUGAAGUUGAGUGAUAUUAGUGUAAAGACGCUUAGCAAUUAAACAAAAGACAUUUCUCUGUUUUAAAAGUUUCAAAUUGUCUCUUUGUAAAUAAAUGUUUUCGUCCUUGGAUUUGAUUAACUCCGACUCCUUCAGCUCGAUCCACAUCCUCCGUUCCUCACUCUUUGAAGACACCCUGCUUAUUUGGUCAGUUAGGUUAGAAUUGGUGACCCGUGUUUGAGUUAAACUGCUGUCUAGAUGAGAGAUUCUUGAAUUUACAUUUUUUAAUUCUUUUUCAUAUGAACUUUGUGGGACUUUGAAUGAAACAAAAAUGGAUUGUACCUUCUUGAUUAAUUCAUCAAGCUCGUUAAACUGCACGCUGAGAGGUUUUGCUGUGAAGCACAAGUCCUCUCGCUCCUUUGUGUCUUCAUUCCCACCGUCUGUGUUGUAUCCCCUCAUUUGAGAUACAUCCGACACCAUCAAGCACUUUCCACCGCUUCCUUCAUCUUUCGCAACAUAAGCCUUUCCAUGAGAUGGCUUCCUUACUUCAUCAUCCUCAGAGUCGGUUGACCAGACCUCCACGCCACCGAACUCAUCAUCUGCUACCGAACCCUGCACAAUUAAAGCAUUCAUUGAAGGGUUAGUGACAACUUUCUUUUUCUUGAUCUCUUCCAGCUUUUUCAUUAACACAGCUUCUUCAUCUUUCUCCUCAUCCUUUUCUGCCAUUUUCUUGAGGACACAAUCUUUGGCAUAGUGGUUCUUUCCUCCACAAUAGUAGCAGUUCACACCCGAAUCUCCUUCAGCUUUCGGUUCCUUCUUUGGUUCUUCUGCCUUCGGUUCUUCCCUGACCUUUUCAGAACUAUAACUUCCCUGCCAAUUUCGGUUCUUAUUGGUAGGAAACCUUUUCUUGAUGAACCUCUUCGGGUUUGACACCAUCAUUGCAUAGUCUUCAGAGGUAAGGUCAUAGUCCUCUAAGUUAAGGUCUUCAUCUUCCAUCACACCUUUGCUUUUGGACAGAAGGGCCAAUGAUCCCAAGCUAGAAACCACAUUUUUCUCCUGCAAGACAAUCUUUUCUUGGGAUUUCAAAAUCCCUACCAGCUUUGCCAAUGAGUAAGAUUUGAAUUGCUCAUGUGCUUUAACAGUGGACACAACCGCUCUCCACUCAGAUCUAAGACCGUUUAAAAACGUAACUUUUUGUUCAAUCAACUUCCUUUCAAUAUCAUGUUUAAUCAUCUUACUAAGAAGAUGAUUGAAACGAUCGAACGUUUGAGUUACAGUUUCUUCAGGACUUUGCUUGAAUUCACCAAACUCGGACAAAAGUAAGGUUUGAAUGGAAUGCUCGAGAUCUUCGUCUGUGGAAUAUAACUCUCACAGCCUAUCCCAUAUUCCUUUAGCAGUUCUGCAUGAACUCACUAGCCUGAAAGUAUCAGAUUGAAGAGCGAAUCUGAUUAGUCUUAAUGCUUUAAUAUUGCACUGAAAUUUAUCUUUUUCGUCUUGGGCAAUAUCUUUUACAUCUUUCAACAGAUCAUUAUACUCUUUCUGAGUUUUAAUGAUUCUUGAUGUUGCUGAAUGAGCGAAUGGUCCAGACACGAUUGCUUCCCAAAUAAGAUAUCCGUUGUCCUCAGAUCCAAUGACAUAAUCUUCAAAGUGAUGUGCCCAGACUUUGUAAUCCUGGGUGUAAAGGAUGGGAAUCUUUGUCGUUGAUCCAAUGCUGUUUGAGAUGUUAAUGGGAUUUGAUUGUGACUCGUCCAUGCUAGAUCGAAUAACCUGUUUAAAAGAUCAGACUUGUAAUAUAUUAAAUUAGGGCAAAAUGAAUAAAUGCUGAGUUACGUCAAUUAUGGGAUGACGGCUCAAUAAAUAUUAGUUAAUGCAGAAUAACCCUAAUCGCAACCUUUUUCACAGAAAAGAUGUGUAUGAAUUACACAACCUCCUACUCUGAUACCAAUUGUUAAGUUAUAAAUCAAACGUGAAGAUCGAUUAGAUCUUUGUAACAGGUAUGGCGAUGAACACAAAACAAUAAAUAAGACAAGUAUGGAUCAAAAUAUGUCGAAUGAUUAUAUCAAACAAUCCUCAGCAGAGCUCGACUAAGAACUUCGACUGUAGAGGAUUUAGGGUUACAAGAACGAUAAUAAUAAACUUUUGAAUAGUGCUCUGAUCGUUCUAUUCUAUCGUUUUCCUAAGAUGAAUGCAAGCACCUAUAUUUAUAUUAAACUCUACUAAACUCACGGAUGAACAUGCCCAUACCGGAGAUACAAAAACGGACUAACUAACGAGCCCAAUAGACGCAACAUACAAAACACGACCCAACAAUAUAUAUAUAAUUUCNNNNNNNNNNNNNNNNNACCCUUAUACUAUUAUAAUAUUAUAAGUUUAAUAUAUAUAUAUAUAUAUAUAUAUAUAUAUAUAUAUAUAUAUAUAUAACACAAGUCAGUCUUACCGUUGGUAGGUCUCAUUUACGAAGCCAAUCUAUAAGGAGUAUAAGGAAACUGUCUAUAAAAUGGCAGUUGAAUGGGUGUCCACUCUCACCUACCGCUUCCUUGAUUGGUGGAGGGUUGUUAACCGAACGGGUAGGAUAGGACAUUAAUUCUCAUCAAAAAGUAUAAUGAUAAUUAUAAAGUAACUAAAUGUUUUUUUAUAAAUUCCUAAUCUUAGUUACUUUAGGAAAUUGCGAAAAUGAUGCUAUUCCAUGAAACUGCACUUUGCACCUUGCCAAGUCGUUAGUGGAGCGUGUGAGGUUAACCGACACACUAACUUGGACUAGUAAGGGUGGCAAAGGGUAGCUUGAUGUUUGUCAUAGAUCAAUGGAGCGUGUGUGGUUAAUCGGCACAUUCAUUAGGUGAUAAAUGACAUCGACAAUAUCAAACACAUUUGCAUGGUUAUUCACACCUUGUUUGUGGUCCUCGGUAUCCCAGUCACAAACUUGAAGGGCAUAAUCGAGAUUUAAAAAUGCCAUUGAAAAGUUCAAUGAGUCUCAAAAAAAUCUAGGAAUUUCAAUUCAUUUAAAACUUAAUCUUCAAUUUCGCUUUUCAUGGUGGAAAUUGGUAAAUCGUCAUUUACCUAUCUUCUAAUAUUUUGCAAUUGGAUUACAGCAUCCCUCUUCCGAAUUGUCAAAUAUUGUGUUGGGUCCUAGCCUUAAUAUUUCAUUUGGGUGUUAAAUUAAGGAUUAUAUAUAAUCUAAACUUUGUCAUUCUUUUCAGAUGUCUUCCAACACCGCUUCUAACUCAAACCCUUCUGGCUCUUUCUCCCUCAUGAACUUGUAUGGGAGGGUCAUCUUUGAUGGGUCGAAUUUAAAUGAAUGGAUUCGAAACAUUAGGAUGGUUACUCAUGACGAGGACGGGAAUAUGUCCUCGACAAAGAGCUUAAGGAGGUGGAUGAAGCAACUGCUACUCCUGAAGAGGUUGUUGAAUAUAGGGUACAUGAGAAGGACACCACAAAGGUGUUAUGCAUCAUGCUUGCCACUAUAACAACUGGACUUCAAAAGUCCUAUGAGGACUACUACCCUUUCGAGAUGCACCAAGACUUGAUGGAAAGAUACAAUCAAAGUGCUCGACGGGAAUGGUAUGAAAUCAUUGCCUCUAUGAUAACAACAAAAGUGAAGGAUGGAGAGUCCAUCACGGCCCACUUGCAGAAAAUGCAAAGGUUUGUGGACCACUUGCUGAAGUUGAAUGUCAACUUUAAUGAAGAUUUAACCAUUGAUCUUAUCGUACACUCUUUGCCUCCUUUUUAUGAUCAGUUUCGUAUAACUUAUCAUAUAAACAAGGAGGAGGUCACUCUUAGCAAGCUUCAAGGCCUUUUGAGAACUACUAAAAGUAGUCUCAAAGGUAAAUCUGUUGUUUCUACUCCUACUGUUGUUGCCCCUGUCUUGGCAAUUGGACAUGGGAAAGGGAAGAAGAGGAAGGCUCCUUCUAAGAGCCACAAUGGAAAGUCGCAUGAGUGAUCCUCUUCUAGUGGAACCAAAGGUGGUCUUGCUGCUCCCUCUGCCAUUCCAAAAGAAGCAGAGUUGUUCUAUUGUCAUGAUAAAGGGCACUGGAAGCGAAGCUGCCCCAAAUACUUAUAGGAUGUCAAGGAUGGGAAGAUAAAGCCCACCCAUGUAGGUAUUUACACUAUUCUAUCUAAUAAAUAAUCACAUUCUAGUUCAUGGGUUCUUGAUACAGGUUGUGGUUUCUACAUUUGUUCUGAUUUGUAGGGACUAAAAAGAAGUAGGGAUGUGGAGCACGGGAAGAUGAACUUAAUCAAGGGAAAUAGGAAAGUGUCGCCUGUCACCAAGAUUGGAGUUUAUUCUUUAUUGCUUAGUAGUGGGUUAGAAUUAGAUUUGAAUAAUUGUUGCUACUCGUCUGAUAUGGCGAGAAACAUUGUUUCCUUUCAUGGUUUGUACAAACAAGGUUUUAGAUUUUCAUUUGAUAAUGAAAUUGGUUCUAUUAAUGCUUUUUAUAAUGGUAUAUUUUAUUUUAAUGCAUUGCCUUGUAAUGGUGUAUAUGAACCUGUGAUGGAUGUAGACAACUUAGGAAUAAUGUAUUGCACAUUGAUUCGUCCAAUGCUUUAGACAAGGCAUCCUUGUGGCAUUGUCGUCUUGGGCAUGUCAACAAGAAGCACAUAGCCCAAAUCCAAAAGAAUGGUGUGUUGGAGUCAUUCGACUUAAAGUCAGAUGACACUUACGAAUCUUGUUUGAUUGGAAUGAUGAUCAAGUUACCCUUCACUGGUACUUGUGAAAGGCGUGAGGGUUUGUUGGAUCUCAUACACACCGAUGUGUGUUGACCCUUCAGAUCCCCUACAAGGGAUGUUAAUCGAUUCUAUGUGACUUUUACUGAUGAUUAUAGCAGAUAUGGCUAUAUAUACUUAAUCUAGCAUAACUCAGAAACCUUUGAAAAGUUCAAAAAGUUUUAACAAGAAGUGGAGAAUUAGCUGGCCAGGAAGAUAAAGAUUGUCACACCCCAAAACCGGAACGACGGAAACAUUCUGGGGCGGAGGACGUCAUGUACAAUAUCAUAACAAUGCAAAGUAGUAAACAAGCAACAACAUCAUCCAUUGCAUUAAUAGUAUAAUUAAUACAUGUGUGUUCUUUAAUAGUAACAAGACACCAAAAUGAAUAAUCAAAAUAAAAGACGAGUAUUGAAUAUGCUCCAUAUUCACUAAACCUGAUCAUCGGUACCUGUCUACUGGUGACCUGAGAAUACAAGUUAUUUUGAAAGCGUAGAUCAGCAUUUACGUUGGUGAGUUCAUAAGUAUUUAGUGUCCACGUUUGUAUAUGUUUACUGAAAGUGUUUGUAAAUGUUUGUAUACGUUUGAAAUCUCCUAGAAAGUCCUAUAUUUCCAACUAGUAUUAAAAGUAGUCUUCUACCAAGACCCGACUGUUCUAGAUGUUUGUUCUUUGUAAAAGUGAAUAUCUUUCCCAUGUUUGACUAUCAUUACCAAAAUAUAGUUUACAUUACCGGUUAUGUGAGAAGAUCACAAUUUGAAUGUAAUGGGAAAAUAUGUAUGAACUACAAUGUUGUAUAUAGCAACCACUGAAGUAAUAACUACCUUAAACCAAUUAUUUAAUUAAGGUAAAAUGUGAUAAGGUUGCAACCAUACUUAAUUGAAUAAAUUAGGCACGGGGAUGUAAGACGUCGAAAAGAUAUGACAUUUGUCACCCUUAGACUUGCAAGUCCCACUGUAGCGAGCAGCAAGGUGUAGGAUAGUCAGUCGAGUAUAGAUCUUUGCACAAACUCACGCUCUCCCUCCAGGAGACUCCGGUUACAAAACGUGACACAACAAAUUGGUUGUUGUGCCAUGAAGUAGAGGCUCACAUUAUGUUAUCUUGUUCUUGUUAUAGUAUUCUUGUUAUAGUAAUAGUAUUCUCUUCUAUACUUGUAUAUGAUAGUAUUCUCUGUAUAGUAAUUGUAUUCUCUUCUAUACUUGUAUAUGAUAGUAUUCUAUGUCUAGUGAUAGUGUUCUCUUAAUAUACUUGUAUAGUGAUAAUGUUCUUUGUCUAGUGAUAGUGUUAUCUUAAUGUACUUGGAUAGUGAUAAUGUGUAGUGAACCUCUAAACUAUACCUAUUAUAGUUUACUAGUAAUCUCUUUAGUUUGAAUGAAAAAAUGUAUACCUUUGCUACCCAAAGGUACUGAACUGAUUGAUAAUACUUUUAUAUCUACAUUUAUAUAAAUAAUAUACAACUAAGAUUUAGACGACAUUCGGACUAAUAAUCGAUACCCUAAGUCCACAUCCAAACAAGGAAAAGGAAAUAAAGUGAGUUAGCAGUCCUAAGUCCUGUAAACCUUAUUUAUAUAACUAUACAUACAUAGACAUGCUUUUGAUAAUAUAUAAGUUAAAAAAAGAUGUUUUGAAAUACAUUUGGAGAGUUUAACAAUUUGAAUGAAUAUUGAUGACUUCAUGUCAGUUUAUAAAACGAUUUGAAAAACAGUUUGUUUGAUAACACAGUUUGAAGUAUAUGAAAUCAUUUGUUUGAGAAAACAGUUUGAAGUAUAUGAAACCCUUUUCUUGAAACACAAUUAUAAAUCACAUGUGAUUGAUUAUAUAACUAACAUGUUUUCUACUUUUAUCCCCCCCCAAUAAAAGCAUUUAAAAUAUUUUAAAAGAUAAGUUAAGGAGUAUGAACUCACCUGUAGUGAGUGAUGCGAAUGUAAGAUUGGUAUAGGAUGCUAAGUGUCAAGUGAAGUCUUGAGCACACAUGGAUCAUAUUUAGCAUAUAAUGACACAUAUAUGUAUCUAAUUAGUGUAUAUAACAACUAAUCAUGUAAUGGAACAACCUUAGGGACUAGGAAAUACUUGGAAUGAAUUGUUACAAUUACAUAUGAUUGUAUAAAAGGGUGUUUACAGCCAUAGGGGUGUUUAUGGCUAGGAAAGAUUGACUAAAAGAGGUGUUUAAGGCCAUAACUAGUACUUUUAAUAAGUGUUCAUGUCCAUGACAUGAAAUAACAAGGGUUUACGGACAUGAUGAGGAGUUUAUGGUUGUAAACUCUUGAUGACUUGUGCCAAAGAGUGUCUUAAGGUCCUAUAAGCAUCAAGGAAGUGUUCUAGGUCCCAUGAUUAGCUUUAGGGGAGUUUGUGGCCAACUUAUGAACGUUUCUAACAAGGGUUUAAGACCAAGGGAGAUGCUCAUGGCCGUAAACUCUUGUUGUUCAUGGGAAAUGGUUGUUUUCAAGGGUGUAAAUCAAGAGAUUCUACUAGAUAACAAGUAUAUGGAAAGGAUACUUACGUUAUGGAAGCUAAAAGAGUUGAUUUCGUCCCAAAGAACUAGUGUGUGUUCUUGGUGUUCUUGAAGAUCUAACCCAAAAGAUGAAUUUCAUGGAUAAAAUCAAAGGGUGAUAUUAGAUAAUGAGAUGUAUCAACUAACAAAGGAUGAAACACUUACAUUUUAGAAAAUCAAAAUGAAGAUCCUUAUGAUACUUGAGAGAGAAUUCGAGUUCUUGAGGUGGAAGUGUAAGAAAUGACUAGAAAUGAACAUAAAACUCAUAUAUGGACAUGAGUUUGCGGCCAAGGAGGUGUUUACGGCCGUAAACUCUAGUUUACGGUCGUAAACUCCUCAUGAAUGGAGUUUUCGGCUUGUAUGCUGCACACUACACUCUAGAAUACACUUCAUAACAUUCCUUCUUGAAGGUACUAGGUUUAUAACACUCAAACAGACCCUAAACAGUGCUAAAAGAUAGCAGAAAUGAGUCUGAAUUUGAUUAAAUUGAAUGGUUGUACAAGAUAGAAAUUUUGGGUUGUCACAUCAUCCCCCCAUUAGAGAGAAAUUUGUCCCGAAAUUAGAGUUUAAGAAAUCAAGUAGUUACAAAUAACUAAGUAAAAGGAUGAGGAUAUUUCAGUUUCAUUUGAUCAUGUUGCUCCCAAGUGAAUUCAGGUCCUCACCUGGCAUUCCAGCGAACCUUCACUAUCGGGAUACGACUUUGCUUUGUUUGCUUGACCUCUCUGUCCAUGAUCUCUACUAGUUUUUCCAUGAAGUUGAGGCUCUCGUUGAUCUCGAUCUCGUCGAGUGGGAUUACAAGAGUCUCGUCGGACAGACACUUUUUCGAGUUCGAGACGUGGAAAGUAGAAUGUACGUUACUGAGUUCACGAGGUAGAUUGAGUUUGUAAUCUAAAGGGUUGAUUCUAGCAAGAAUCUCGAAAGUCCCCACGUAUCUUGGAUUUAGCUUUCUAGAAGCGUAUCAAGCCCUUCCAGGGUGAGACUUUCAAUAGAACGCAGUCUCCAACCUGGAAUUUUAAAGGUUUCCUUCUUUUGUCAGCGUAGCUUUUCUGUCGGUCUCUUGAGGGUUUCAAUCAUUCACGAAUCUGAACGAUCUUCUCUGUUGUUUCCUGUAUGAUUUCUAGACCUAUGAGAGUGUUGUCAGGAAAUCGUCCUUUAGCUAACUAUUGGUCACCCACCUCAGCCCAGCACAAAGGGGAUCUGCAGUUACGACCAUAGAGGGCAUCAAAUGGAGCAGCCUUUAUGCUCGUGUGAAAACUGUUAUUGUAGGAGAAUUUGACAAGGGGUGAAUGAGUAUCCCAUGCCUUUCCAAAGCCAAUCACACAGGCUCACAACAUAUCUUCUAAAGUUUGUAUAGUUCUCUCACUUUGCCCUUCGGUUUCCGGAUGGUAGGCUGUACUCAUGUCUAGCCUAGUUCCUAGGGAACUUUGUAGCGACUGCCAGAACCUUGAAGUAAAUCUAAUAUCUCUAUAAGAGAUAAUGGAUAUGGGAACACCAUGCAGCCGUACGAUUUCCCUAAUGUAUGUUCUCGUUAGUUUCUCCAUCUUGUCAGUUUCCUUGAUAGGCAGGAAAUGCACGGAUUUGGUCAAUCUAUCAACGAUGACCCAAAUGGUAUCAAGUCAACCAGGUUUCUUGGGAAACUUGGUUAUGAAGUCCAUAGUAAUCCGCUCCCAUUUCCACUCCGGUGUCUCUGGUUGCUGUAGUAAACCUGAGGGUUUCUAGCAUUCGACCUUAACCUUUGCGCAAGUAAGACAUUUACUCACGAAGGUAGCAAUCUCUACUUUCAUGUUAAGCCACAAGUAUAGCUUUUUAAGGUCCAGAUACAUCUUAUCUGAACCUGGGUGGACGGAAUAUCGAGUGUUGUAUGCUUUAGUCAUGACCAAUUCUCUGAAACACCGUGCAUCGGUGUCCAAAUACGGUCCAUGAUAUAUAAGGCUCCACCACCCUUGACUUUCAAGUUUUUAUCCAUCCCUCGCAGGUAUUCACCCGACACAUUUUCAGGUUUCAAGGCUUCAAGUUAAGCCUCCUUAAUUUGUGUGGACAAGUGUGAAUGGAUAGUAAUAGUCAUUGAUUUGACUCUACGACCAGAGUAUUCUUUCCGACUUAGGGUGUCGGCUACCACGUUGUCUUUACUAGGAUGAUAAUGAAUUUUUCAUUCGUAGUCACUGAGUAGCUCGACCCACCGUCGUUGUCUCAUAUUGAGCUCCUUCUGGUCGAAUAUGUGUUGAACGCUUUUGUGGUCUGUGAAGAUAGUGCUCUUUGUACCACACAAGUAGUCUCUCUAGAUCUUCAGAGCAAAUACUACUACUCCUAACUCAAUAUCAUGCGUGGUGUAGUUGACCUCGUGUGUCUUUAGCUAUCUUGAGGCAUAGGCGAUGACUUUACUAUUGGAUAAGGUGUCUAAGUCCAUAACUUAUUUGGUAUAUACUUGACCCGACCCGGCAUGGUCCAUUUGGGUUGCACUUCACCCGAACUAUUUAUGGAUAAUUUUAUGAGAGUUAUACACAUAUGUUUAUUAAUAUAUUAUAAGUUAUAAUAUAUUAAUAUGAAGUCAUGUUAUUUAAUUAGUCUUAGUCUUAAAUUAAUUAUGAAUUAAUUUAGAGAUUAAAAGGAAGACUAAUUAGAUUAUGGGCUAUUGGUUUUAUAUGGUGUGGGCUAACACUCAUUUGUUAAUGGGCUAGGCUUGUAUGGAAGUCCAUGGAUGAUCCAUGGAGCUUUUAACCCAUGGAUCCUUGGAAAAGGAAAGGUCAUGGGUUAUUAGGGUUUCACCCUAACCAUGUACACUAUAUAAGCAUGCUUAUGUUGCAUGAAAUAGCCACUAGUGUGUGUGCUUGUGUGUGGCCGAAAAUAUAAGAGUGUGUAUACUCUCUCAAAGUUUUCCAAGUGUUUGUGGUGAUUUGUGAUUCCAUUUGAGGCAUUCACAUUAUUGGUACUUGGCUCUCAAACUCCAAAUAAUCAAUCUCAUCAAAAGGUAUGUAAUCUCAUCUAACUCUUUUAUGUUUAAAAGUUCCCCAUGCCAUGUUAGAUAGGUUAUGAACCUUGGAAAAUUAUUAUUUUGCAUGUAUUUAGACAAACAUAGAUCCAAGGUUUAUUAGGGUUGCAUGCACACUUAGGAAGUGUUAGAUUGCUCAAAACCCAACAGUGGUAUCAGAGCCUAGGCUUGCUUGUUUGAUACUUGAUGCAAAAUAGUGAAAAAAGUCGAAAUCGUUGCUGUCUGCAUGCUAGACUCGCCGAGUCCAUUGGGGGGACUCGCCGAGUCCAAGGCAAACUUCAACCUACUCGACGAGUCCGUUCGUGCACUCGGCGAGUAGGAUCGAAAGAAUGCAGAAUCUCGACUUUUGCUGCUGGAAAUGGACUGGAAACAUUACCCUAAAUUGUUUUGGUGUUGUAAAACUUAUUUUAGUUGGUGUAAUGGUUGUUCUAAUCCAUUUACAAUAGCAUAUAUCAAAAAUCCAUGAUUUUAUGUGUUCAUAUAAUUCUUGAAUUUUUGAUGAUCAUGUUCAUGUUCUUAUGAAUUUAGAAAAUGAUAGGAAUUAUUUGCUGAAUUGUUUAGAAUUAAUUCUUAAUCAUUUAUGUGUUUUAAUGGAGUCCAUAAUUUGUCCUCAAGUUAUGGAUUACCAAAGGUCACUUUCAUUUAACACACACUUAAAACACAUAAGUUACAUGAAAAUGAAGAGUCUUCAUUUUUAUGAACCUUUAAUUCAUAAGUUAUGAAAUGAAGAGUUUUGCAAAGUUACAAAACUUGUCCUCAAGUUUUGGAAUUUGUAAAGUUUCACACACUUUAAUAAACUUUAAUUCCAAACCUUAGAGUUUUAAUAGUUAAAAUUCAACCCUUAUACUAUUUAUAACAUUAAUGGUUAAUUAUUAUAUAUAUGUAUAAGAAUAAGUCGUUUUACCGUUAGUAGGCCUCAUUCACGAAGCCGGUCUAUAAGGUGGGUAUAAGGUUGUUGCCUAUAAAAUGGCGACUUAAUGGGUGUAUACUCUCACCCACCGCUUGCUUGAUCGGUGGAGGGUCGUUAGCCGAACGGGUAGAACAACGACUUUAAAUCCUCAUUAAAAGUAUAAUGAAUAUUAUAAAAUAACUAAACUCUUUUAAUUCCCAAUCUUAGUUAUUUUAGGAAAAUGUGAACAUGGUGCUAAUCCAUGGAAUUCACACUUUGUACCUUACCAAGUCGUUAGUGGAGCGUGUGUGGUUAACCGGCACACUAAUUAGACUAGUAAGGAUCACGAAGGGUAACUUAAUGUUGUCAUAGAUCAAUGGAGCGUGUGUGGUUAACCGGCACAUUGAUUAGGUGAUAAUAUUAGGAGUACCAAGUGAGUUAGCAUGGUUAUUCACACCUUGUUUUGUGAUCCUCGGCAUCCCAGUCACAAAACUUGAAGGGCACAAUCGAGAUUGAAACAUGCCAUUGAAAAGUUCAAUGAAUCUCAAAAGAAUCUAGGAAUUUCAAAUCCAAUUAAACCUAAUUAAUCAUUUCGUUUUCAUGGUGGAAAUUGGUGAAUCGUCAUUCGCCUACCUUUCAAAUAUAUUAUUACUUAGAUUACGGCAUCCCUCUUCUAAGUGUAAUAUAUUGUGAUUGGAUCCUAGCCUUAAUAUUACAUUUGGGUGUCUUAUUAAGGAUCCUAAAUAUCUAAUCUAAACUUACUUUCUUCUUUCAGAUGUCUUCCAACACUAAUGCUUCAGGCUCUAACCCAACUGGUUCUUUCUCUCUCAUGAAUCUUUGUGGGAGGGUCAUCUUUGAUGGUUCCAACUUCAUGGAUUGGAUUAGGAACAUCAGGAUGGUUACUCGUUACGAGGACAAGGAAUAUGUCCUCGAUAAGGAGUUAAAAGAACUUGAUGAGUCUACUGCUACUCCUGAGGAGAUCGCUGAAUUCAGGACUCAUGAGAGAGAUGCUACUAAGGUGGCAUGUAUCAUGAUGGCCACGAUGACAGCCGAGCUCCAAAAGUCAUAUGAAGAUUUCUACCCUUUUGAGAUGCACCAAGACUUGAUGGAAAGGUACCAUCAGAGUGCUCGUCAGGAGCGGUAUGAAAUAAUCUCCUCCAUAAUAACUACCCGCAUGAAGGACGGUGAAUCCGUCACGGGCCACAUGCAAAAGAUGCAAAGGUAUGUGGACCGUUUGCUGAAGCUGAAUGUUAACAUCCCCGAGGAGUUAGCAAUUGACAUCAUUUUGCACUCCUUGCCUUCUUGUUAUGAUCAUUUUCGAAUGACAUAUCAUAUGAACAAGGAGGAAGUUACCCUCAGCAAGCUUCAAGGACUCUUGAAGACCGCUGAAACCGGUCUUAAGGGUAAAGCGGUUGUUACCUCUACUACUCCUACUCCAACUUCUACCCCUGUUUUAGCUAUUGGGCAAGGCAAAGGGAAAAAGAGGAAGCACCCUUCGAAGGGUACCAAGGGAAAGUCUCUUGAAGGCUCCUCAUCCAAGACUAAGAACGGUUCUGUCACUCCUUCUGCCAUUCCAAAGGAUGCUGAAUGCUUUUAUUGCCAUGAAAAGGCACACUGGAAGCGAAACUGCCCUAAGUACUUGCAGGAUCUAAAGGAUGGGAAAGUGAAACCCACCUAUGCAGGUAUUUACACUAUAUUGUCUAAUUACUCAACAUAUUCUAACUCUUGGGUGCUUGAUACAGGAUGUGGUAUUCACAUAUGUUCUGAUUUGCAGGGCCUAAGAAGAAGUGAGGAUGUGGAGCACGGGAAGAUAAACUUAAUCAUGGGGAAUAGGAAGGCUUCACCUGUUUCCAAGAUUGGAGUUUAUACUUUGUUGCUUAAUAAUGGGUUAAAAUUAGAUUUGAAUAAAUGUGUAUACUCGUCUGAAAUGGCGAGGAAUAUUAUUUCUUUUCAUGCUUUGUACAAACAAGGUUUUACCUUUUCGUUUGAUAAUGAAUGUGGUGGUAUUAAUGCUUUCUUUAAUAAUGUGUUUUAUUUUAAAGCAUUACCUUGUGAUGGCGUGUAUGAAACUGUGUCGAUUGUAGACAACUUAGGAAAUAAUGUGUUGUAUAUUGAUUCUUCUACUAGCCUAGAUAAAGCAUCAUUGUGGCAUUGUCGUCUUGGACAUGUAAACAAGAAACGCAUAGACCAACUCCAAAAGAGUGGAGUCUUGGAAUCAUUUGACCUCAAAUCAGAUGAUAGUUGUGAAUCUUGUCUACUUGGAAAAAUGACAAAAUCACCCUUCACUGGAACUUGUGAGAGGGGUGAAGGUUUGUUGGACCUAAUACAUACUGAUGUAUGUGGGCCAUUCAAAACCGCCACAAGGGACGCUAAUCGGUAUUAUGUGACUUUUAUUGAUGAUUAUAGUAGAUAUGGGUAUGUCUACUUGAUCAAACACAAGUCCGAAACCUUUGAAAGGUUUAAGGAAUUCAAACAGGAAGUAGAAAAUCAAUUGGGCAGGAACAUUAAGAUGCUUCGAUCCGAUCGAGGUGGUGAGUAUCUUAGUACCGAGUUCCUUGACUAUCUUAAGGAGUGUGGGAUUGUCUCACAAUUGACUCCUCCCAGGACACCACAGCUGAAUGGUGUAGCUGAGAGGCGUAAUCGUACCUUGUUGGACAUGGUUCGCUCUAUGAUGAGUCGAGUUUCGUUACCAAUCUCUUUUUGGGGGUAUGCCUUAGAGACUGCCGCCCAUAUCCUUAAUCUAGUCCCUACAAAGAAGGUUACCAAAACACCUCAUGAGAUGUGGACUGGGAAGGUUCCCAAUUUGGACCACAUCAAAAUUUGGGGUUGCGAAGCCUUCGUGAGGCGUGAAACUCAUGAUAAGCUUGAACCCCGAAGUGAAAGGUGUAUUUUCAUCGGCUACCCACAGAAAUCCUUCGGUUACCUUUUCUACAGACCCAGUGAGAAUGUGGUCUUUGUAGCACGAAGAGGGAUCUUUCGCGAGAAAGAAUUUAUAAGCCAAGGAGACAGUGGGAGGCAGAUUGAUCUUGAAGAAAUUCAAGAAUCAAUUGGUGAAGGAACCUCAGACACUAGCAAUCAACCUGAGGAAGAAACUCCUGUUGAUCCAGCUGACGAGUCUGUACCUCCGAGACGUUCCACACGGGUUAGGAACACACCUUCGUUUUAUUAUGGUUUUCAUAUUACUACGGAAGGUGAUACGUUUAUUAGUGAUAGUACACUAGUAAAUUUGGAUGAACCUAGCAGUGUUAAGGAAGCCAUGGCAGGCCCGGAGUCUGCUAAAUGGAAGGAGGCUAUGGACAGCGAGAUACAGUCCAUGUAUGACAAUCAAGUUUGGAACUUGGUUGACAAUGUACCAGGCCGUAAAACAGUCGGGUGCAAAUGGAUCUUCAAAAAGAAGACCGACAUGGAAGGAAAAGUGCAUACUUAUAAGGCUCGACUGGUUGCGAAGGGUUUUACUCAAACUCAAGGUAUUGAUUAUGAUGAAACCUUCUCGCCGGUGGCCAAGAUUAAGUCUAUUAGGGUUAUGUUAGCCAUUGCAGCAUUUCAUGAUUAUGAAAUAUGGCAAAUGGAUGUCAAAACCGCUUUCCUUAAUGGAAAGUUGGCUGAGGAUGUGUACAUGAAUCAGCCAGAGGGUUUUGUCAAUGCAGAGUACCCUAAUAGAGUAUGCAAGCUUAAGAAAUCCAUUUAUGGAUUAAAACAAGCAUCUCGUAGCUGGAAUCUUUGUUUUGAUGAGAAGGUAAAAGAGUUUGGCUUCUUGAGAAGCGAAGAUGAGUCUUGCGUGUAUGUCAGAGCUAGUGGGAGUAUAGUUAGCUUCUUGGUACUGUAUGUGGAUGACAUACUACUCAUAGGAAAUGACAUCCCAACCUUGCAGGAGGUUAAGUCCUGGCUUGGGAAGUGCUUUGCUAUGAAGGACCUAGGGGAGGCUACCUAUAUCCUAGGGAUAAGGAUAUUAAGAGAAAGGAGUAGAAGACUAAUUGGACUUAGUCAGAGUAUCUACUUGGAUAAGGUGUUGAAAAGGUUCAACAUGGAGAAUUCCAAGAAAGGAGAUUUACCGAUCCAAAGCAAUACCAAACUGAGUAAGACUCAGAGUCCGAGUACAGAGGCUGAGAUAGCUGAGAUGAGCCAAUUACCAUAUGCUUCCGCAGUUGGCUCGAUCAUGUAUGCUAUGACUUGUACCCGUCCUGAUGUGGCAUUUGCUUUGAGCAUGGUCAGCAGGUAUCAGGGGAACCCUGGCAAGGCUCAUUGGACCGCGGUAAAGAACAUUCUCAAGUACCUGCGGAGGACUAAGGAUUGGGUCCUUACCCUUGGUGGCAGUGAUGACUUGAGAAUAUUAGGGUAUAGUGAUGCUGGUUUUCAGACUGAUAGGGAUAAUUUCCGCUCUCAGUCGGGCUGGAUCUUUACCUUAAAUGGAGGGGCAAUUUCUUGGAAGAGUUCCAAGCAGGAGACGGUGGCUGAUUCGACUUGUGAAUCAGAGUAUAUAGCAGCGAGUGAAGCAGCGAAGGAGGCGAUAUGGCUAAAGAACUUCAUCGGAGACCUUGGAGUUGUACCAGCUAUUAAGGAACCUAUAGAGAUUUUCUGUGACAACAAUGCUGCGGUUAUCUUAGCCAAGGAACCAAGAGAUCAUGGCAGAUCCCGACACAUUGACAGAAAAUAUCACUUCAUAAGGCACAAGAUUGAAGAAGGACUCCUUGUGACAAGGAGGAUAUCGUCAGAUGAGAAUCCUGCAGAUCCCCUUACGAAGGGACUGACGAGGGUUAAGCAUUUUCAGCAUGCGAGACGCAUCGGGCUGAGGGACGAUAUUAGUUUUACAGAUUAGAUAGUUUUCCUGAAACUUGUAAAAUGUAAUCGACGUUUGAUGAUGAAUAAAAUUUGUGAUUUAUUUAUGAGUAAAGUGUUACUAUCAUUGUCAAUUAUUUAUUAUUGUUUCAGUUUUGCAUGUUUUGACUUCUAGAAUAAUUAAUUUAUUCGAACCUCCACAAUCGGUCAUACGUCGGAAGUACGUAUGAAUCAAGAUUGUCAUGAAUUGGGUUUGUAGAUGGCUAAAGGUGUUUAGACAUGGAAAUGGUUGCUGCAACGUUCAUGAGUGCUCAUAAGUUAUGAGUAUUGGUAUAAACCCACGCUCACUUGUAUCACUUCAUGGAAUUUAUCUCGAGUGAUCGUGAGACGAUAAUAUCAUAUAAGUCUUCAAACCUAGAGAUAUGAGUUGUUACCUAUGAGUUGGUUGUGCAUUGAUUGCACGUAAACGCAUCAGUAACUUGAUGUUAUAAAACGUGCCUUUGUGUACAAUUCAACAAGUAGUAGAACAAGCAUAUGAGUCGAAGUUUAUCUGUUCCUUCUAGAAAUAGAAGCGAUAUCUGGGCCCCUCGAUGAUUUUGUGGUGACCCAUGUACCGGCCGGUCAGAACUGAAUUGAUGUGUUCGAUUAAGUUCUUUGUCAAACAAAUCGAAAAUCGGGAAACAAACUGCUGGACAAUAAGUACGACGUUGUUCCAUGUAUUUGUCCGGCUGAUAUCAUGAGAACAGAGG
rnacentral:lncRNA from 1 species